rnacentral:rRNA from 1 species
UGGGGAAUAUUGGACAAUGGGCGAAAGCCUGAUCCAGCCAUGUCGCGUGAGUGACGAAGGCCUUAGGGUUGUAAAACUCUUUCGUCGGGGACGAUAAUGACGGUACCCGAAGAAGAAGCUCCGGCUAACUUCGUGCCAGCAGCCGCGGUAAUACGAAGGGAGCUAGCGUUGUUCGGAAUCACUGGGCGUAAAGCGCACGUAGGCGGAUAGUUAAGUCAGGGGUGAAAUCCUGGGGCUCAACCCCAGAACUGCCUUUGAUACUGGCUGUCUCGAGGUCGAGAGAGGUUGGUGGAAUUCCUAGUGUAGAGGUGAAAUUCGUAGAUAUUAGGAAGAACACCAGUGGCGAAGGCGGCCAACUGGCUCGAUACUGACGCUGAGGUGCGAAAGCGUGGGGAGCAAACAGGAUUAGAUACCCCUGUAGUCCCUGAGCGGGCUGGCAAGGCGCAU